AAAACCUCCCUUCCUAGACUGGAAAGUGACUAGAGCCAGCAAGCAGGUAUCCCAGUGCGUUCCCAUGAGGUGGCCAUUUGGGUUCAUGAACCGAUGGGACAUCGGGAGUUUGCAGCAAUGCAGAGGUGGGCCAAAUCUAGACACCUUGCACUCGCACCCCCUGAGGCACAAAAUGCCACUAAGAGCUGUUCUGUCAACCGGAGAGACGGGCUCCACGUGGCUGCGGGGCAGAUUCCCUGGAGGGAAGGACACACGUGGAGCUGGCCGGUGAGACUGAUGCUGGCAGACCCGGCACGAUCAGACAGUGACCCUGAACUGGGUGUAGCUGUAAAUGCUCAAAAUACUGUAAAAGGACCAGAACAGAAGAGAAUGCAGCACUUUGGACCACUGAGUUACAUUUUUUUCGGACAGGGAACACACUUUGAUCCUCCGAGUGAGGGUCUGAUAGAGAGCUGGGAUGGACAGUUACAACGUUGGUUGUCGGAAACGGGGAGACAUGGACAGGAAGGGCCGGCCGACACGGCUUCACCAGUGUGUGCUCAGCACUCACCGUGAGGGGGUCCUGGGAGGGUGGCUAUCAGCCGGACUGCUCUGCUUUUCGGGGGACUCUAGGGAAGAGGGGUGCAGAGGAGGCUAGUAUGCCCAUGCGAUUCUUCCACAGGAGGGAGACGAUGGUAUGACGACGCUUUUUUCUUUCUUCCCCACAUUUCUUCAUCCUUCUUUUCUCCACCCGAUGCAGAGAUCCCAGGACCAAGGCAGCAGCUCCACGUGUCCGAAGUAGGGAUGAUUCCUAAGCAAGAAAAUGGUAGGAAUGGCCCAGCCAAAGCGUACCUGUGUGGCACCUGUGCGUGGGAGAGGACUGCGGGGAGGCACUUGCUGCACUAACGUUGCUCUGCAACCUGGCCCAGCACCGCAGCUGAACGUAGUGUCCUUUCCAAAGGUUGAAAAGUUUGGAUAUAAACGGAGAGAAGGAGAAACAGUAGCCGCAGGGUGAAUGUACAUAUUGCUGAAAUCACUCCUGCCCUGGAACCUGACAAGAUCAAACAGAAGCCUGCAAACCUGAGUGGCCUCACCGGGAAACAUUUUGGCCGUAAGAUAUGAUGAUGGAGUAGACUAAUUAUUCAUGACUAUAUGAGACUUGAGUAGUAUGCCAACAUCUUCGACCUUCUUUUCAGCUUAUAUCUACCAUAGUACGAUAUGGUGAAACACUAACGUUGUUGGUUAGAUUAUAAUAUUAAUCUUGAUGGUCGAAUGUAUUGGGAAGUUGAGUUAAAAGCCUCCUAUCCCUACCCUAGCUCUAAAUGUUAGGUAUAUUCGUGCUGAUAUUAUUGCUUUAUCUAUUACAUAAAUGCUACACCAAAUGUAGAUGCUCAAACAGGUAGGAAUAUUUUGCUAAAACGGACCCUUUGCCAAAGAUCAGAGGGUAGUCUGCUGUAUAACAAAGAACGUGUCAGUCCUUCGACCCAUUUUCCUGCAAUGUAACCUCUGAGCUCUUGGAAUUUCCCAAGUGAUGGGAGAGUCUUGGGCAUUCGGGUGGGCUCUGGUAGUUUACAUUAAUGAGGUGACUCAUGGUGAGCCCUUAGAUGGUCAUACUAAUGAGAUGUCUCAGGAUGGGGGCAGACUGUGCCAGAACGACUGACCAUAUGAUUAGAGGGUUGGAACUUUGGGUCAUGU